GGCGCACGGGUGCGUAACGCGUAUGCAAUCUACCUUGUACAGGGGGAUAGCCCAGAGAAAUUUGGAUUAAUACCCCAUAGUAUUAAUGAAUGGCAUCAUUUAUUGAUUAAAGAUUUAUCGGUACGAGAUGAGCAUGCGUCCUAUUAGCUAGUUGGAGAGGUAACGGCUCCCCAAGGCUACGAUAGGUAGGGGUCCUGAGAGGGAGAUCCCCCACACUGGUACUGAGACACGGACCAGACUCCUACGGGAGGCAGCAGUGAGGAAUAUUGGACAAUGGGCGAGAGCCUGAUCCAGCCAUGCCGCGUGCAGGAAGACGGCCCUAUGGGUUGUAAACUGCUUUUAUACGGGAAGAAUAAGCUCCAUGCGUGGAGUGAUGACGGUACCGUAAGAAUAAGGAUCGGCUAACUCCGUGCCAGCAGCCGCGGUAAUACGGAGGAUCCGAGCGUUAUCCGGAAUUAUUGGGUUUAAAGGGUCCGUAGGCGGCUUGAUCAGUCAGUGGUGAAAUCUUUCGGCUCAACCGGAAAAUUGCCAUUGAUACUGUCAGGCUUGAGUUACUGUGAAGUAAGUAGAAUGUGUAGUGUAGCGGUGAAAUGCUUAGAUAUUACACAGAAUACCGAUUGCGAAGGCAGCUUACUAACAUUAUACUGACGCUGAGGGACGAAAGCGUGGG
rnacentral:rRNA from 1 species